AACGUACAUUCCCACAACUUCCAAUGAAGUUGCUGGAUUGUCUACACAAUAAACAUAUGAUUUCACCCAUUGGUCAAAAUAUGUGGUUUGAUUGGACACCCUAUUAUAGGGAAAACCUAUGAUUAGCCUGAUAGCCCUUGAGUAGCCUAGGCCAGGCCCAUGUUAACACAAUAGGCUAAUAGCUUCAGUUUGUUACAUUGGCCAAAUAGUCUUCAUUGUAUACACAUAUUUCAAUCAUUUUUCUGGCAACGAACGCUAAGGAAUAAGUGACCUAUUUUGUAAUAAUUUUGCUUCUGUGAACUAUGAAUGCUUGGAGAGGCUUGCUAUUUUUCCCGCCCUUACCAUUUUGGAACAUGCUCGCGCAGCUUGUGCUGAUUAUUCACUUCUAGCUACAGCUCCAGAUGGAUCAACACAUGCUGGACAUAUGACAACUUAUGCCUGCCCAUACCAUAACCCCACCGCCACCAUGGGGCACUCAUGUUCACAAUGUUGACAUCAGGCAACCACUCGCCCACACAACGCCAUACACGCUCCCUGCCAUCUGCCCGGUACAGUUGAAACCCGGGAUUCAUCCGUGAAGAGAGAACUUCUCCAGUGUGCCAGUGGUCAUUGAAGGUCUACCAGUUGCUGACACUGUCCUUUGCAGACUUACCCUGGGUUCCAUCCAAGUCUGUCUGGUUCCUGUAACUGAGAGGUGCUGAUGAAGGUAACAUCAUUUAAAACUGCUCUUAUUUCAUUACCAAUUAAAUCAUAAAGGUUAUUCCGUUCAGGAGGAUUAAGUAAGUGCUAUAUAUCAAGGACAAGAAUACAGACACUGGCCAAUUAAAAGGUAUUGAUUCAAAUCACAUUUACAUGCAUGUAUUUGAGGCAUAUUAACAUGCGUGUAUUUGAAACAAUAGUCCUGGCCAUUGUUUUUGCUGUCUUCAUUAAGUCUGCAAUUGUUUGCCACUGACGAUUGACUGCCAAGUUUGGUGAACAUCAAAGCAUUUAAAAUUUUCCCCCAAACCAGAGAACCCAUUAAAUUAACAUGCAUAUUGCAUCUUGAGCUCAAUAAAUUGCCUAAUUGUGAGAGGCACCGACAAUAGAGUAGUUUCGUCAUCAUGUCGAUAAUAGAGAAAGAUAUAGAACAUAGUUGGUAUACUUGUGUGUUUACGUGGCUGUGUGUAAUUGUGUUUGCGUGUGUGGAUUCUAAAUGAGCGUGGGAGAGCGUGUGAUUGUAAUGCAGCCUCCAGUGCUCUCCAUCCCCCGUUUAAUAACCUGGUCUCCUUUGAUGUGGCUGCAAUGGAUGAGGUGUCUCUUUCUCUGCAUCACUUGUGGCAUGUAAAUCCGGCUGGGAUUUUAUCUCCUUACCUGCUCAAGGGUCUACGUGAU